UACGUAGGGACCAAGCGUUGUUCGGAUUCACUGGGCGUAAAGGGUGCGUAGGUGGCGUGGUAAGUUUGAUGUGAAAGCUCAGGGCUUAACCCUGAAAUGGCAUUGAAUACUACUGUGCUGGAGGUUUGGAGGGGGGACUGGAAUUCUUGGUGUAGCAGUGAAAUGCGUAGAUAUCCGGAGGAACACCGGUGGCGAAGGCGGCUUCCUGGACCGACACUGACGCUGAGGCGCGAAAGCUAGGGGAGCAAACGGG
rnacentral:rRNA from 1 species